rnacentral:rRNA from 1 species
UACACUCCUGCGGGAGGCAGCAGUGGGGAAUAUUGGACAAUGGGCGCAAGCCUGAUCCAGCCAUGCCGCGUGAGUGAUGAAGGCCCUAGGGUUGUAAAGCUCUUUCACCGGUGAAGAUAAUGACGGUAACCGGAGAAGAAGCCCCGGCUAACUUCGUGCCAGCAGCCGCGGUAAUACGAAGGGGGCUAGCGUUGUUCGGAUUUACUGGGCGUAAAGCGCACGUAGGCGGACUAUUAAGUCAGGGGUGAAAUCCCGGGGCUCAACCCCGGAACUGCCUUUGAUACUGGUAGUCUUGAGUUCGAGAGAGGUGAGUGGAAUUCCGAGUGUAGAGGUGAAAUUCGUAGAUAUUCGGAGGAACACCAGUGGCGAAGGCGGCUCACUGGCUCGAUACUGACGCUGAGGUGCGAAAGCGUGGGGAGCAAACAGGAUUAGAAACCCUAGUAGUCCCAUG